CUGACACAGGUGCUGCAUGGCUGUCGUCAGCUCGUGUCGUGAGAUGUUGGGUUAAGUCCCGCAACGAGCGCAACCCCCGCCGUUAGUUGCCAGCGGUUCGGCCGGGCACUCUAACGGGACUGCCCGCGAAAGCGGGAGGAAGAGGGGACGACGUCUGGUCAGCAUGGCCCUUACGGCCUGGGCGACACACGUGCUACAAUGCCCACUACAAAGCGAUGCCACCCGGCAACGGGGAGCUAAUCGCAAAAAGGUGGGCCCAGUUCGGAUUGGGGUCUGCAACCCGACCCCAUGAAGCCGGAAUCGCUAGUAAUCGCGGAUCAGCCAUGCCGCGGUGAAUACGUUCCCGGGCCUU
rnacentral:rRNA from 1 species